rnacentral:rRNA from 1 species
GUUCGAUCCCGUCAUCCUCCACCAAAAGUUCAAACGUAAAUCAGUGCAGAGUGCACCAGGAUUUAGGUUUGGUCUUUUCGAGAUCAAGUGCUGUAUGUUCUUUAACAAUCUGGAAGAAGUAAAGAUUAUUUAUUGAUUGGUUUGCCGUAAAACGCAAAUCGAUGGGUAAUGAUUGUAUGUAUCAACAAACAAGCAACAACGUUGUACUUUCUUAUUCCUGUAACGCUCUUUCCUCAUGCAAAUGAUGAGAGGCUAACGUUAUAGGGACAAGCGAAUAAGUGCACAUGGUGGAUGCCUUGGCGAUUACAGGCGAUGAAGGACGUAGUAGCUUGCGAUAAGCUGCGGGGAGUGAGCAAACACACUUUGAUCCGCAGAUUUCCGAAUGGGGCAACCCACCCUUUUAGGGUAUUGCAUACUGAAUACAUAGGUAUGCAAGGCGAACGCGGCGAACUGAAACAUCUAAGUAGCUGCAGGAAAAGAAAUCAACCGAGAUUCCCAAAGUAGCGGCGAGCGAAAUGGGAAGAGCCUGUACGUGAUAGUCGGACCGAUAACAGAAUCCUCUGGAAAUGGGAGCCAUAGUGGGUGAUAGCCCCGUAUGUGAAAUUGGACCGGUGAUACUAAGCGUACGACAAGUAGGGCGGGACACGUGACAUCCUGUCUGAAUAUGGGGGGACCAUCCUCCAAGGCUAAAUACUCGUAAUCGACCGAUAGUGAACCAGUACCGUGAGGGAAAGGCGAAAAGAACCCCGGAAGGGGAGUGAAAUAGAUCCUGAAACCGUGUGCAUACAAACAGUAGGAGCGGACUUGUUCCGUGACUGCGUACCUUUUGUAUAAUGGGUCAGCGACUUACAUUCAGUGGCAAGGUUAACCGCAUAGGGAAGCCGUAGAGAAAUCGAGUCCGAAUAGGGCGAUCAGUCGCUGGGUGUAGACCCGAAACCAAGUGAUCUACUCAUGGCCAGGAUGAAGGUGCGGUAACACGCCCUGGAGGUCCGAACCCACUAAUGUUGAAAAAUUAGGGGAUGAGCUGUGGGUAGGGGUGAAAGGCUAAACAAACUUGGAAAUAGCUGGUUCUCUCCGAAAACUAUUUAGGUAGUGCCUCAAGUAUCACCAUCGGGGGUAGAGCACUGUUAUGGCUAGGGGGUCAUUGCGACUUACCAAACCAUUGCAAACUCCGAAUACCGAUGAGUGCGAGCUUGGGAGACAGACGUCGGGUGCUAACGUCCGGCGUCAAGAGGGAAACAACCCAGACCGCCAGCUAAGGUCCCAAAGAUUGGCUAAGUGGAAAACGAAGUGGGAAGGCUAAAACAGUCAGGAUGUUGGCUUAGAAGCAGCCAUCAUUUAAAGAAAGCGUAAUAGCUCACUGAUCGAGUCGUCCUGCGCGGAAGAUGUAACGGGGCUAAGCCAGUCACCGAAGCUGCGGAUAUCCUUUAUUGGAUAUGGUAGGAGAGCGUUCUGUAAGCCUGCGAAGGUGUCUUGUAAAGGAUGCUGGAGGUAUCAGAAGUGCGAAUGCUGACAUGAGUAGCGAUAAUGGGGGUGAAAAGCCUCCACGCCGUAAGCCCAAGGUUUCCUGUUCAACGUUCAUCGGAGCAGGGUGAGUCGGCCCCUAAGGCGAGGCAGAGAUGCGUAGCUGAUGGGAAGCAGGUUAAUAUUCCUGCACCGUCGUAUGAUGCGAUGGGGGGACGGAUCGCGGAAGGUUGUCCAACUGUUGGAAUAGUUGGUUUUUGGCUCAUAGAAGGCACUUAGGCAAAUCCGGGUGCGGAAUUCAAGGGGUUGAGACGAGUGCACUUGUGCACGAAGCAAUCGGAAGUGGUUCCAAGAAAAGCCUCUAAGCUUCAGUCAUACGAGACCGUACCGCAAACCGACACAGGUGGGCGAGAUGAGUAUUCUAAGGCGCUUGAGAGAACUCGGGAGAAGGAACUCGGCAAAUUGGUACCGUAACUUCGGGAAAAGGUACGCCCCGGUAGCUUGAUUGGUUUACUCCAUGAGGGUGAAAGGGUUGCAAUAAACUGGUGGCUGCGACUGUUUAAUAAAAACACAGCACUCUGCAAACACGAAAGUGGACGUAUAGGGUGUGACGCCUGCCCGGUGCUGGAAGAUUAAAUGAUGGGGUGCAAGCUCUUGAUUGAAGUCCCAGUAAACGGCGGCCGUAACUAUAACGGUCCUAAGGUAGCGAAAUUCCUUGUCGGGUAAGUUCCGACCUGCACGAAUGGCGUAACGAUGGCCACACUGUCUCCUCCCGAGACUCAGCGAAGUUGAAAUGUUUGUGAUGAUGCAAUCUACCCGCGGCUAGACGGAAAGACCCCAUGAACCUUUACUGUAGCUUUGCAUUGGACUUUGAACCAAUCUGUGUAGGAUAGGUGGGAGGCUUUGAAGCGGGGACGCUAGUUCUCGUGGAGCCAACCUUGAAAUACCACCCUGGUUUGUUUGAGGUUCUAACCUUGGUCCGUUAUCCGGAUCGGGGACAGUGCAUGGUAGGCAGUUUGACUGGGGCGGUCUCCUCCUAAAGUGUAACGGAGGAGUUCGAAGGUACGCUAGAUACGGUCGGACAUCGUGUUGAUAGUGCAAUGGCAUAAGCGUGCUUAACUGCGAGACUGACAAGUCGAGCAGGUACGAAAGUAGGACAUAGUGAUCCGGUGGUUCUGUAUGGAAGGGCCAUCGCUCAACGGAUAAAAGGUACUCUGGGGAUAACAGGCUGAUUCCUCCCAAGAGUUCAUAUCGACGGGGGAGUUUGGCACCUCGAUGUCGGCUCAUCACAUCCUGGGGCUGUAGCCGGUCCCAAGGGUAUGGCUGUUCGCCAUUUAAAGUGGUACGUGAGCUGGGUUUAAAACGUCGUGAGACAGUUUGGUCCCUAUCUGCCGUGGGCGUUGGAAAUUUGAAGGGGGCUGCUCCUAGUACGAGAGGACCGGAGUGGACGUAUCUCUGGUGUACCGGUUGUCACGCCAGUGGCAUUGCCGGGUAGCUAAAUACGGAAGAGAUAACCGCUGAAAGCAUCUAAGCGGGAAACUUGCCUUGAGAUGAGAUUUCCCAGAGCCUUGAGCUCUUUGAAGGGUCGUUCGAGACCAGGACGUUGAUAGGCUGGGUGUGGAAGUGCAGUAAUGCAUUAAGCUAACCAGUACUAAUUGCCCGUACGGCUUGUCCCU